rnacentral:rRNA from 1 species
GAUGAACGCUGGCGGCGUGCCUAAUACAUGCCAGUCGAGCGAACAGACGAUGAGCUUGCUCCUCUGACGUUAGCGGCUGACGGGUGGGUAACGCGUGGAUCACCUUCCUAUAUGUCUGGGAGGACUUCGGGAAACCGGAGCUAAUACCGGAGAAUAUAUUGAACCGCAUGGUUCAAUAGUGAAAGACGGCUUUGCUGUCACUUAUAGAUGGAUCCGCGCCGCAUUAGCUAGUUGGUAAGGUAACGGCUAACCAAGGCAACGAUGCGUAGCCGACCUGAGAGGGUGAUCGGCCACACUGGAACUGAGACACGGUCCAGACUCCUACGGGAGGCAGCAGUAGGGAAUCUUCCGCAAUGGGCGAAAGCCUGACGGAGCAACGCCGCGUGAGUGAUGAAGGUCUUCGGAUCGUAAAACUCUGUUAUUAGGGAAGAACAAAUGUGUAAGUAACUAUGCACGUCUUGACGGUACCUAAUCAGAAAGCCACGGCUAACUACGUG